UUGACUGUUGAUAGCUUGAGUAUUGUCAAUGUGUUCAAUUUAAUUUGCAACGUGGCAAGAGUGGAUUUUCCCAAUGGCAGUGAAUACUCCUUGGAUUUUAUAUGGCUAGAAUCUCGAUGCAGAAAAAAUACCUUUUUACUACGAUUCAGUGGUGGUUGAUACGUAGAUUGAGGUGUCCGCGUACCCCCAUUUUUUGGGUAAGUAUCUUGACACUCAAUAGUCACAUCUUCCAUCCAGAGCCACUCCGCUGACGGUCAAAGUCUUUGUAUAUUUUUAAUGUGAAUUGCAAAGAUAUAUUGACUAACUAUCUAUGUAUGAUUGAAUUAUGAUGCUAAUGUGAGCAUUCACUUAGGUUUUAUGAGUUGCGUUGGAAAAAUCGACAUUUAAACAUUA